rnacentral:snRNA from 1 species
GGCUGUGAGGGUGAUCUGGCUGCGACAUUUGUCACCCCUUUGAUGGCCAGGGUUGAUUAGGCUGAUCUGGCUGGCUAGGCAGGUGUCCUUUCCUCCCUCCCUGCUCCAUGUGCAUCCCUCCUGAAGCUGCAUACUCAGCCAGAGAGGAUGACCGUCCCGAUGGACCGGUCUUUGGUGAAGGGUGUAUGAGUAGCUGCGCUCCCCUGCCAGAACCUCCGAACAAGCUCUCAGAUUACUAAAUUAUCAGGAACCAAUGUCUUUGGAGAAUAUUUUCUAAUCUUUCCAGAGGUGUUUUUGUG